rnacentral:rRNA from 1 species
AUUGAACGCUGGCGGCAGGCCUAACACAUGCAAGUCGAGCGGAGCGGCGGACGCGUGAGUAAUGCCUGGGAAUCUGCCUGAUAGUGGGGGAUAACGUCCGGCAACGGGAGCUAAUACCGCAUACUAUCAGAUGAGCCUAGGUAGGAUUAGCUAGUUGGUGGGGUAAAGGCCUACCAAGGCGACGAUCCGUAACUGGUCUGAGAGGAUGAUCAGUCACCAGGGAACUGAGAAACGGUCCAGAAUCCUACGGGAGGCAGCAGUGGGUAAUAUUGGACAAUGGGGGAAGGCCUGAUCCAACCAUGCCGCGUGUGUGAAGAAGGACUUCGGAGUGUAAAGCACUUUAAGUUGGGAGGCGUUACCAGCAGAAUAAGCACCGGCUAACUUCGUUCCAGACGCCGCGGUAAUAC